CUCAGCAUUUACAUAAUUUCCUGAACCUGGAAGCUGGGAUCUGGAUUGACACAGAAGUCUGGUUAAAAUAAGGAAAGGAGCCUGAAAUAUUGGAUGGAAGAAGGAGGUGUUCCAUGAAAAUCUUUAAGCCCUUCGAAAUGAAAUACAUUACAAAAAGAAGACAGAGCAUGGAUUCAGCCAAUGACAGUACCCCGAAAGACAGUAAUAAAAAAUCUGAAGAACAUGAAGAGAAAGACAAAGAGGUCUUUGAUCCUUUUGAAGAUUUCUACAGGGAAUGACUAUCACAACUCGGUUUGUCACUCAUGAACUCUUCAUCAUAUGAAGAUUUUAGUCCUAGUUAGAGGCAAAAUGUCAGUUUUCUUCAACAGUUUGAUAACAGAUCUUUUCAAAAUUCACUUGAGCUAAUACUACUGUUGCUCCUCAUCUCUCAUAUCUUCAUUUUGAGACUUUGACUUUUUUAUUUGUGGAAAGUGUUCUGGCAUAUGUUGGACACUUCUGAUAAGACUAUCUACAGUUCAGUUCCAGCGAUCUAGCAGAAAGCCAUCAGAAAACAAUGGAGACCUUGACAGAACCUUGACAGGAUGGAGAUGUGGGCUGACAGGAAUGUCAUGAAGUUCUACAGAGAGAGAUUUGCAAAGCCCUGAAGUUGGAGAGGAACAGCCCCAGGCACCAGCAUAUGCUGGAAGCACCCAGCUGGGAGCAUCUCUGCAGAAGACUUGAGGAUCCUGGUGAAUGCGAAGCUGAACAUGUGCCAGCACUGGUACAGGUUGCUCAGAGACUGUGUGUUCUCCUCCUUGGAGAUGUUCAGAAGCCGCUUGGCAACAGGCCUGGGCCCCCUGCUCUGGUUGUCCCUGCUUGAGCAGAUGUUGGGCCAUGUGGCCUGGAGGACCUGGCAACCUCAGUCAUUCUUAGAUAAUUUGAUUGUUAAGAUUCUGAAAAAAGACAAAUUUGUGCAGAGUGUUUGUCCUUAGUUGAUUAUUCAUUGUUUUUAUCAUCAAAGGGUUAAGAAUAAUACAUUUCUUUUCCUGUAUCAUUUGCACUUUAACUACAGAUGAGAGGUACUGAGCUUCUUCUUAAGCAUCUUCACAUGGGGGUAGUAUAUAAAUGAAAUUUUCUGAUUCAGAAAAAUAAAUUUAAAGUAGGUUGUACAGAAUAGGUGAACUAAUGGAAAAAAGAAGCAUAGCAACUGUACUGCUCUAGGAUUUUUAUAAUGAGGAAUGGAGUAGGCAAAUGUGGCAUACUUGUAUAAUCAGCUACUAAGUGUAUUUAUUAUAAUUAAAAUUGUAGAAAUUAUGUGGAUAGUAAUCAGUUUUCAUUAUAGUUCUUUCCAUAUUUCAGAGCUAUAAUUAGCUUGUGGCAUCUGUCAUUGCUGAUUAAUUUGUAGACAGCUCUAUCUUUCCAUUAAGAUUUACUGUGCACCAAGUCAAAUUUUUGUUAGAUAAAAAUAUGAAAUAAAAAAGUUUUAAUUUGG
ensembl:lncRNA